rnacentral:rRNA from 1 species
CCGAAAGGCGUAGUCGAUGGGAAACAGGUUAAUAUUCCUGUACUUGGUGUUACUGCGAAGGGGGGACGGAGAAGGCUAUGUUAGCCGGGCGACGGUUGUCCCGGUUUAAGCAUGUAGGCGGAGGUUCCAGGUAAAUCCGGUACCUUUUAACGCUGAGGUGUGAUGACGAGGCACUACGGUGCUGAAGUAACAAAUGCCCUGCUUCCAGGAAAAGCCUCUAAGCAUCAGGUAACAUUGAAUCGUACCCCAAACCGACACAGGUGG